GUGCUCGCUUUGGCAGCACAUAUACUAAAACUGGAACAAUACAGAGAAGGUUAGCAUGGCCCCUGUGCAAGGAUGACAUGCAAAUUCGUGAAGCAUUCCAUAUUUAA